rnacentral:lncRNA from 1 species
CCUGGUCCCUCCUCCUUAGCUAGCCUCUCUCUCCCUCCUUCCCUCCCACCUUCCCUCCCUGGGGCCCUCUGGGAGGCGCCUGAAGAGGAGGCAAGCAGAGCUCAGGCCAGCAGCGCUGCUCUGUUUCUCUCUCCUUCUUGCUGGUGCACUGGUGCAGUAGAUGGAGCGCAGGGCCGGGGCUGAUUCUCACGAAGGCAAGCAUCCUCUCCAGUCUAGUCCCUAGAGAGAAAAAGGCCUGUGCCCAUCAGGCCAGCUCCCUGCACCCCACCAUGCCUCUGCUGGAUGUUUUCUGGGCUUGCUUCAGGGAAGUGAAGGCAGAAGGACAGGAAGGAAGGACAGAAGGACAGAAAGAGCCCCAAAGGCAAAGAGCUGGUCCUGGAACAGCCCUGCUGACCAGGUGAGAAAUGGGGAGUGAGAGAGAAGGAAAGGAGGCCCUUCCACAACUGGCAGGAAGGAAUUAAG